GCCUAGUUAGCUGAGUUGGUAGUGCGUCUGCCUUGUAAGCGCUAGGCUGCGGGUUCGAUUCCCGCCCGGGGCG
rfam:Asian citrus Psyllid, Diaphorina citri - Florida Strain, whole genome shotgun sequence.